GGGGUUGUAGGGUAGCUUGGUCCAUCCUUUCGGGUUUGGGACCCGAAGACCCAGGUUCGAAUCCUGGCAACCCCA
rnacentral:tRNA from 1 species